AGAGAAUCCAGAAAUGAAGGAAGAUGCUAAGCAUGUUGCUGAUGAACCCGUUUCAGUUGAAUUGGUUGAGGACGAUGGUCAAGUUCUUGUACCAGAGGCUCCUAUCGAGUUUUUGGUGGAGAGCAAAGAAGAGGUCUUGGGGAAAUAUUCUCAAGUGGAUGAUGAUACUAAGCAAUUUGCUGAAGAAAGGCCGCAGCUUGGGAAUUUGGAGCAGGAAAAGAUUGAACUGAAUGGAAGAGAUGGGC
rnacentral:misc_RNA from 1 species